rnacentral:rRNA from 1 species
AUGGUGUUAUCUGUUCAUGUGCAAAGCAGGACGAUUACGCCAUCAACAGGCAUCGAGCGCUCUACGGAAGCAUCCAAUCUCGCUGUUCUAACAACUUCGCCGGAAAUACAGACCGCCAGUGCUCCAGCUGAGGUUGUUUCUCGAGUAUUUCUUAUUGCAGACCAUGCUGUAGAGACACACAAACCGUACGGCUGCUUUUGCUUUGUUACAUUUUCAGAUCUGCAGAUAGAUCCGCUGAUGGAUUUAAGUUUUCAUUCACCAACUUCAAAUACUCAAUUCCUUGGAAAUGAGGAUCGUUCUGCAGCUCAUAAGUCGUACACAACGUGUGAUCGUUUCUACCGUCCAAAUGAAUUUUUAUAUUCAAUAAAUUUGAGGCUGCCUCGAAGCCUCCACCAAGAGUAG